AACGAACGCUGGCGGCAGGCUUAACACAUGCAAGUCGAACGCCCCGCAAGGGGAGUGGCAGACGGGUGAGUAACGCGUGGGAAUCUACCUAGUUCUACGGAACAACACAGGGAAACUUGUGCUAAUACCGUAUACGCCCUACGGGGGAAAGAUUUAUCGGAAUUAGAUGAGCCCGCGUAAGAUUAGCUAGUUGGUGGGGUAAUGGCCUACCAAGGCGACGAUCUUUAGCUGGUCUGAGAGGAUGAUCAGCCACACUGGGACUGAGACACGGCCCAGACUCCUACGGGAGGCAGCAGUGGGGAAUAUUGGACAAUGGGCGCAAGCCUGAUCCAGCCAUGCCGCGUGAGUGAUGAAGGGCUUAGGGUUGUAAAGCUCUGUCAGUAGGGAAGAUAAUGACGGUACCUACAGAAGAAGCCCCGGCUAACUUCGUGCCAGCCGCCGCAGUAAAAC
rnacentral:rRNA from 1 species